rnacentral:rRNA from 1 species
UACGUAGGAGGCAAGCGUUGUCCGGAAUUACUGGGCGUAAAGCGCGUGUAGGUGGUGGGACAAGUCUGCUGUGAAAGCGCCUGGCUUAACCGGGCGAGGUCGGCGGAAACUGUCCGACUCGAGGACGGUAGAGGGGGGUGGAAUUCCCGGUGUAGUGGUGAAAUGCGUAGAGAUCGGGAGGAACACCGAUGGCGAAGGCGGCGAUCUGGGUCGAUACUGACGCUGAGGUGCGAAAGCGUGGGGAGCAAACAGG